AUCCAAAUGAUGAGUCGCAAAUAAGAUGGAACGUGCGUCAAACUGGAU
rnacentral:hammerhead_ribozyme from 1 species